GGAAUAACAAAAGAAAUCACCAUGCAUGCGAUAGACCGCACAGGCAAGUUAUUCUAAAAGAAUAAUAAAGGAUGGAACCAGGUCCGGCAUAAACGCACAGACAGGAUAUUCCGACAGAAUAAUAAAUAAUGAAACCAGGUCUGGCGUAAACGCACAGAUAGGAUAUUCCAACAGAAUAAUAAAUAAUGGAACCAGGUCCGGCGUAAAUGCACAGAAAGGAUAUUACGACAGAAUAAUAAAUAAUGGAACCAGGUCCGACGUAAAUGCACAGACAGGAUAUUCCGACAGAAUAAUAAAGACCGAAAUAUCAGAAGAAUGUCACCAUGUAUAGGGUAGCCCGCGUAUACAGGUUAUUCCAACAGAAUAAUAAAUAAUAGAAUAACAGAAGUUCUCUUCAUGAGUACAACAAAUAACAUCCCUUACCGUAAAAGAAACUGAAUAUAAGAGUAGGGAAGUAGCAGAAUACUUUUCUAUAGGUUCUCUUGUAAUUCUCUCUCUAGAGUUUUAAUGAAUUUGUAAGAAAUAAUGAAGGAAUGAGCUUCUAUUUAUAGGAAAAUGGAAUGAAUAGUAACUAAUUCAUAAACGGUCCAGAUUGAUUUACUAUUAAACGGACGGUCCAUAUUGGUUUACUAUUAAAACUUAAAACAACGGUCCAUACUGAUUUACUAUUAAAACUUUAAACCAGCGAUCUAUAUUGAUUACUAUUAUAACUCCACCAGCGGUCCAUAUUGACUUACUAUUAUAUGUUCAACCAACGGUCUGAAAAAUUAGCACAUCUCCUCAUGUAAUAAUAUUGUACCCAAAUACCUGAAUGCACAAUACUAGAGUGAUAAGUAACCGGGUGAAUAGUAACUCGUGAAUAGUAACUCGUGAAUAGUAAAUCAUGAACAGUAACUCGUGAAUAGUAACUCAUGAAUAGUACUUUGACACAAAAAGUGUUUCGAAUACCCAAUUGAACAAUAUAUCCUCCAGACAUCAAUUAUACUAACACAAAUAAGUCCAACACAAUGGAACUAUAAAAUUCAUCUUUAAUCAACACGAACUUAUUCAUCAUUAAUAUUAUAAUUCACAAUAUUUAAAAACCAGGUCGUUCCAUGGAAAAAGGGGGCUUUUCGAUAAGGAUUUCUCCUUAUUGGCGCGCAAUUAGGUGACCAAACCUCUCCUUGACAGAACUUCUAGACAUUGUCAAUAUUG
rnacentral:lncRNA from 1 species